AUACGUAGGGGGCGAGCGUUGUCCGGAAUGAUUGGGCGUAAAGGGCGCGUAGGCGGCCCGGUAAGUCUGGAGUGAAAGUCCUGUUUUUAAGAUGGGAAUUGCUUUGGAUACUGUCGGGCUUGAGUGCAGGAGAGGUAAGUGGAAUUCCCAGUGUAGCGGUGAAAUGCUUAGAGAUUACACAGAACACCGAUUGCGAAGGCAUCUCACGAAGGGUUGAUUGACGCUGAGGCACGAAAGCGUGGGGAUCAAACAGGAUUAGAUACCCUGGUAGUCCACGCAGUAAACGAUGAUGGCUAACCGCUGGGCUUAUCAGUUCAGUGACCAAGCGAAAGCGAUAAGCCAUCCACCUGGGGAGUACGACCGCAAGACUGAAACUCAAAUGAAUUGACGGGG
rnacentral:rRNA from 1 species